UAUGGACAUAGCACUUUGAAACGCCAGUUCCCGUAAGAUCACUGAUGUUAAGCAACUUCGAGCCUGGUCAGUACCUAGAUGAGUGACCGACUGGGAAUACCAGGCGCUGUAAG